rnacentral:sRNA from 1 species
AAUCAUCCGUAGGGUAACCUGCGGAGGGAUCGGCCAUUACCGAGUACAACUCCCAAACCCCUGUGAACAUACCAAUGUUGCCUCGGCGGAUCAGCCCGCUCCCGGUAAAACGGGACGGCCCGCCAGAGGACCCCUAAACUCUGUUGGCUAUAUGUAACUUCUGAGGGCCAAGGCCAAUAAAACCAUAAAUAAAUCAAAACGGGCAACAACGGAUCUCUUGGUUCUGGCAUCGAUGAAGAACGCAGCAAAAUGCGAUAAGUAAUGUGAAUGCAGAAUCAGUGAAUCAUCGAAUCUGGGAACGCACAUUGCGCCCGCCAGUAUCUGGCGGGCAUGCCUGUUCGAGCGUCAUCAACCCUCAAGCCCCCGGGUGGUGUUGGGGAUCGGCGAGCCCUUGCGGCAAGCCGGCCCCGAAAUCUAGUGGCGGUCUCGCUGCAGCUCCAUUGCGUAGUAGUAAAACCCUCGCAACUGGUACGCGGCGCGGCCAAGCCGUUAAACCCCCAACUUCUGAAUGUUGACCUCGGAUCAGGUAGGAAUACCCGCUGAACUUAAGCAUAUCAAAAGCGGGAGGAAUUGCAGAAAACAUA